rnacentral:rRNA from 1 species
CAACGCCGGAAAGAUGUUACAAGUUACUGGUAGGCGCCCCGAGAUGGGGCGCGCCGCUUCGCAGUGGCCGUCGGCUGAGCGCCGUAGGCCGCCGCGGGCGGCAAUCCGCUUUCCCCCUCUUCGUUCCCCAGGGCACCCGUCGACCGCACCGUUCCACGCUGUGGGUGGUGUGGCCUAGGGGCCCCAGGAGGAGGACCCGGCCGCGCAGCUUCUCCCAUUCGGCGUCCGCUGCACGGGGGUUAUCUCCCGCUGCUCAGGUGGUAGGACUUGCCAUCGGCCAGUCGCCCACAGAGCCCAUCCGUCGGCGGAGGGAGGACGAGCCUCCCGCCGCCAUUGGGCAUCCCCAGUACGCCGUACAGCGCAGAGGCUGCCGGCUUCGUGGGGGGCGAUUCCCCCCGGAGACUCUCCCGCGGCGAUGACCAGAGGCCUACAAGCCGUAGAAGGAGCCCCGCAGAGGGUCUCUGCAAGAUAAGGUACAUUUCCUACCGCACAGGGCGGCAGGUUCGAGAUUUGUGCGCUGGAACGCCGCCUUAAAGGCAGCGCCCGGCGGGCGGCACUCGCUUCAGCUGUUUUUACUUGCUUUCACGCUUGCCCCCUCUCACAUACCCUCCGACCCCUCUUUAGCCCGGGCCACGCCACGCGGGCUUCCGGGGGCCACUUUUUAUUUU